rnacentral:rRNA from 1 species
AGCCUCGUAUUUAAAAUAGUCUUUGUACCUAGCAGUAUCCUGAGUACGGCGGGACACGUGAAAUCCCGUCGGAAUCUGGGAGGACCAUCUCCCAACCCUAAAUACUCCCUAGUGACCGAUAGUGAACCAGUACCGUGAGGGAAAGGUGAAAAGCACCCCGGGAGGGGAGUGAAAUAGAACCUGAAACCGUGUGCCUACAACAAGUUCGAGCCCGUUAAUGGGUGAGAGCGUGCCUUUUGUAGAAUGAACCGGCGAGUUACGAUAUGAUGCGAGGUUAAGUUGAAGAGACGGAGCCGUAGGGAAACCGAGUCUGAAUAGGGCGCCUUAGUAUCAUGUCGUAGACCCGAAACCAUGUGACCUACCCAUGAGCAGGUUGAAGGUGCGGUAAGACGCACUGGAGGACCGAACCAGGGCACGUUGAAAAGUGCUUGGAUGACUUGUGGGUAGCGGAGAAAUUCCAAACGAACUUGGAGAUAGCUGGUUCUCUCCGAAAUAGCUUUAGGGCUAGCGUCGACAUAAAGAUUCUUGGAGGUAGAGCACUGUUUGGGUGAGGGGUCCAUCCCGGAUUACCAAUCUCAGAUAAACUCCGAAUGCCAAUGAAUUAUGGUCGGCAGUCAGACUGCGAGUGCUAAGAUCCGUAGUCGAAAGGGAAACAGCCCAGACCACCAGCUAAGGUCCCAAAAUAAUUGUUAAGUGGAAAAGGAUGUGGGGUUGCACAGACAACUAGGAUGUUAGCUUAGAAGCAGCUAUUCAUUCAAAGAGUGCGUAAUAGCUCACUAGUCGAGUGACCCUGCGCCGAAAAUGUACCGGGGCUAAAACAAUUUACCGAAGCUGUGGAUACCUUUAUAGGUAUGGUAGGAGAGCGUUCUAUGUGUGGAGAAGGUGUACCGUGAGGAGCGCUGGAACGCAUAGAAGUGAGAAUGCCGGUAUGAGUAGCGAAAGACAGGUGAGAAUCCUGUCCACCGUAAGACUAAGGUUUCCAGGGGAAGGCUCGUCCGCCCUGGGUUAGUCGGGACCUAAGGAGAGACCGAAAGGUGUAUCCGAUGGACAACAGGUUGAUAUUCCUGUACUAGAGUAUGUAGUGAUGGAGGGACGCAGUAGGCUAACUAAAGCAGACGAUUGGAAGUGUCUGUCUAAGCAGUGAGGUGUGAAUUGAGUUAAAUGCUUAGUUCUAUAACAUUGAGCUGUGAUGGGGAGCGAAGUUUAGUAGCGAAGUUAGUGACGUCACACUGCCAAGAAAAGCUUCUAGCGUUUAAACAUACUCUACCCGUACCGCAAACCGACACAGGUAGUCGAGGCGAGUAGCCUCAGGUGAGCGAGAGAACUCUCGUUAAGGAACUCGGCAAAAUGACCCCGUAACUUCGGGAGAAGGGGUGCUGACUUUAAGUCAGCCGCAGUGAAUAGGCCCAAGCAACUGUUUAUCAAAAACACAGCUCUCUGCUAAAUCGUAAGAUGAUGUAUAGGGGGUGACGCCUGCCCGGUGCUGGAAGGUUAAGAGGAGUGCUUAGCGUAAGCGAAGGUAUGAAUUGAAGCCCCAGUAAACGGCGGCCGUAACUAUAACGGUCCUAAGGUAGCGAAAUUCCUUGUCGGGUAAGUUCCGACCCGCACGAAAGGCGUAAUGAUUUGGGCACUGUCUCAACGAGAGACUCGGUGAAAUUUUAGUACCUGUGAAGAUGCAGGUUACCCGCGACAGGACGGAAAGACCCCAUGGAGCUUUACUGNNNNNNNNNNNNNNNNNNNNNNNNNNNNNNNNNNNNNNNNNNNNCGAAGGUAUGAAUUGAAGCCCCAGUAAACGGCGGCCGUAACUAUAACGGUCCUAAGGUAGCGAAAUUCCUUGUCGGGUAAGUUCCGACCCGCACGAAAGGCGUAAUGAUUUGGGCACUGUCUCAACGAGAGACUCGGUGAAAUUUUAGUACCUGUGAAGAUGCAGGUUACCCGCGACAGGACGGAAAGACCCCAUGGAGCUUUACUGCAGUUUGAUAUUGAGUGUCUGUACCACAUGUACAGGAUAGGUAGGAGUCUAAGAGAUCGGGACGCCAGUUUCGAAGGAGACGUUGUUGGGAUACUACCCUUGUGUUAUGGCCACUCUAACCCGGAUAGGUGAUCCCUAUCGGAGACAGUGUCUGACGGGCAGUUUGACUGGGGCGGUCGCCUCCUAAAAGGUAACGGAGGCGCCCAAAGGUUCCCUCAGAAUGGUUGGAAAUCAUUCGCAGAGUGUAAAGGUAUAAGGGAGCUUGACUGCGAGAGCUACAACUCGAGCAGGGACGAAAGUCGGGCUUAGUGAUCCGGUGGUUCCGUAUGGAAGGGCCAUCGCUCAACGGAUAAAAGCUACCCUGGGGAUAACAGGCUUAUCUCCCCCAAGAGUUCACAUCGACGGGGAGGUUUGGCACCUCGAUGUCGGCUCGUCGCAUCCUGGGGCUGUAGUCGGUCCCAAGGGUUGGGCUGUUCGCCCAUUAAAGCGGCACGCGAGCUGGGUUCAGAACGUCGUGAGACAGUUCGGUCCCUAUCCGUCGCGGGCGUAGGAAAUUUGAGAGGAUCUGCUCCUAGUACGAGAGGACCAGAGUGGACUUACCGCUGGUGUACCAGUUGUCUUGCCAAAGGCAUCGCUGGGUAGCUAUGUAGGGAAGGGAUAAACGCUGAAAGCAUCUAAGUGUGAAACCCACCUCAAGAUGAGAUUUCCCAUGAUUUUAUAUCAGUAAGAGCCCUGAGAGAUGAUCAGGUAGAUAGGUUAGAAGUGGAAGUGUGGCGACACAUGUAGCGGACUAAUACUAAUAGCUCGAGGACUUAUCCAA